rnacentral:rRNA from 1 species
UACGUAGGUGGCAAGCGUUGUCCGGAUUUACUGGGUGUAAAGGGCGUGCAGCCGGGCUGACAAGUCAGAUGUGAAAUCCCGCGGCUCAACCGCGGAACUGCAUUUGAAACUGUCAGUCUUGAGUACCGGAGAGGUCAUCGGAAUUCCUUGUGUAGCGGUGAAAUGCGUAGAUAUAAGGAAGAACACCAGUGGCGAAGGCGGAUGACCGGACGGCAACUGACGGUGAGGCGCGAAAGCGUGGGGAGCAAACAGG